GCUUAUCGUUGUGGUCAACAAAUGAUUUUGAAAAUCAUUAUUAGAUGUUCAAUUCAUCUAUAAGCU
rnacentral:tRNA from 1 species